rnacentral:rRNA from 1 species
AGUGAACGCUGGCGGUAGGCCUAACACAUGCAAGUCGAACGGCAGCACAGUAAGAGCUUGCUCUUACGGGUGGCGAGUGGCGGACGGGUGAGGAAUACAUCGGAAUCUACUUUUUCGUGGGGGAUAACGUAGGGAAACUUACGCUAAUACCGCAUACGACCUACGGGUGAAAGCAGGGGAUCUUCGGACCUUGCGCGAUUGAAUGAGCCGAUGUCGGAUUAGCUAGUUGGCGGGGUAAAGGCCCACCAAGGCGACGAUCCGUAGCUGGUCUGAGAGGAUGAUCGCCCACACUGGAACUGAGACACGGUCCAGACUCCUACGGGAGGCAGCAGUGGGGAAUAUUGGACAAUGGGCGCAAGCCUGAUCCAGCCAUACCGCGUGGGUGAAGAAGGCCUUCGGGUUGUAAAGCCCUUUUGUUGGGAAAGAAAAGCAGCAGGUUAAUACCCCGCCGUUCUGACGGUACCCAAAGAAUAAGCACCGGCUAACUUCGUG